CCCUUAGAUGUUCUGGGCCGCACGCGCGCUACACUGACGAAUGCAACGAGCUUAUAACCUUGGCCGAAAGGUCUGGGUAAUCUCCAAAUUUCGUCGUGAUGGGGAUAGAUUAUUGCAAUUAUUAAUCUUCAACGAGGAAUGCCUAGUAAGCGCAAGUCAUCAGCUUGCGUUGAUUACGUCCCUGCCCUUGGUACACACCGCCCGUCGCUCCUACCGAUUGAAUGGUCCGGUGAAGCGUUCGGACCGUGGCCUUUGGACGGUUCGCCGUCUGUUGGCUGCGGGAAGUUCGUUAAACCUUAUCAUUUAGAGGAAGGAGAAGUCGUAACA
rnacentral:rRNA from 1 species